CGUGCCGGGCAGCGACCUGAAUUGCGGGGAUUGUGAACGGUUCCAGAUGGGUUCGGCACCAGCCGUCCCCUCGCCCCGCAGGGGCAUGUCUGGCAGCUUGUCCUGAUGGCGGCUGCUCCUGGGUCCUUUGAGGCUCCCGGCCAAGCCCCAACCGGCCACGGUCCCCCUCCGCUUCCCCAAAGCUGCUUCCCACCCGCCCCGCCGGCAGGCGGCCAGCCCUGAGGGCAGCGCUCCCUCACUCAAGAUGGCGGCCGGCGCCGGAAGCGGAAGGGGGUGUGGCGCGGCGGCACGUGGAGCCGGUUCCAGCAUGGCGCGGAGCGGGCGGCUCAGGUCCGGCGCUGCCUCCAAGCUGAAGCGGUGGCGGAAGGGCCACAGCAGCGACUGCAACCCCGAGACCCGCCAACACCGCCUGGCCGCCCGCAGCCGCUUCUGCAGCCGGCCCGCGGAGAAAAGCAACUUGACGGUGGAUGCGGUGAAGCUGCACAAUGAACUGCAGUCGGGGUCCCUGCGUUUGGAGCGACCAAGUGACAGCACUCAGCUCCGUAUGGAGGAGGAUGAUGCUGGGGAGGCCGCCACAGAGAAGUCCUCUGGCACUUUCCUGAGCGGGCUGAGCGACUGCACCAACGUCACCUUCAGCAAGGUGCAGCGCUUCUGGGAGUCCAACUCUGCUGCUCACAAAGAGAUCUGUGCCGUGCUGGCAGCCGUGACAGAGGUGAUCCGCUCACGGGGGGGCAGGGAGAGCGAGACAGAGUAUUUUGCUGCACUGAUGACCACGCUGGAGGCAGUGGAGUCCCCCGAGUCACUUGCUGCUGUUGCCUACCUUCUCAACCUUGUCCUAAAGCGGGUCCCAAGCCCUGUGCUCAUAAAAAAGUUCUCAGAUGCCUCAAAAGCCUUCACAAGUAUCAUCUCCUCACAGGCCUGCAGCAGCUCCACCUCAGCCCUGCGAUGGAUCCUCUCCUGCCUGGCUACGCUGCUGCGGAAGCAGGACUUGGCGGCCUGGAACUACCCUGUCACCCUCCAGGUCUAUCAUGGCUUGCUGAGCUUCUGUGUUCAUACCAAGCCCAAGGUGCGGAAAGCAGCACAGCAUGGCGUAUGCUCUGUCCUGAGGGGCAGCGAGUUCAUGUUUGGAGACACAGCUCCUGAGCAUCACCCCGCAGCACCCUCCACCGCCAAGUUCUGUGUGCAGGAGAUUGAAAAAGCUGGAGGCACCAAAGAGGCGACCACCACCCUGCAUGUCUUGUCCCUGCUGCGGGACCUGCUGCCCUGCUUCCCCGCAGCCGUGGUGAAGACCUGCUGUGAAACCUUGCUCCGAGUCAUGACCCUCAGCCACGUGCUGGUGACAGCGUGUGCCAUGCAAGCCUUCCACAGCCUCUUCAGCGCCCAGGCCAGCGUGGCCUGCCUGCCGGCCGAGCUCAAUGCCCAAAUCAUCACCGCUCUCUACGAUUACGUGCCCAGCACGAGCGACCUGCAGCCACUGCUGACCUGGCUCUCCACCAUGGAGCGGGCACAUGUCAACCUGGGCAGGCUGCAGAAGGACCUCUGCUGGGCUCACCUGCCCCGGCUCUUCUCUGCUGCCAUGAACUGCUUCCUCUCCCCGCACUCCCAGGUGGUGUCGGCGGCGGCGCAGACCCUGGAGACACUCCUGAGUGAGUGUGUUGCUCCUCACAUGGAUGACCUGGGCACUGUCUCUGCAUCUGCCUCAGCCCCUGCUGCCUUCCUGUGCAAGAUGUUCAAGUCAGUGGAGGAGGGCCUGACAUAUCGUUUCCACGCGGCAUGGGGUGAGGUGCUGCGGGUGCUGGAGGUCUUCUUCGAGACGUGUGGGAAGCAGUGUCACCCGAUCAUGAGGAAGUGUCUCCGGUCCCUGUGUGACCUACGUCUGUCCCCACACUUCCCCCACACCACUGAAGUGGACCAGGCGGUGGGGGCUGCUGUAAGUGCCAUGGGCCCUGAGGUGCUGCUCGAGGCCGUGCCUCUGGAGAUCGACGGCAAGGAGGAGACGCUGGAUUUCCCUCGCAGCUGGCUCCUGCCGGUGCUGCGGGACUACGUGCAGGGCACGCGGCUCGGCUUCUUCACCAGCUACUUCUUGCCCUUGGCGGCCAUCCUGAAAAACAGAGCUGUGGAGUUUACCCAGGCUGGAAAGAGUGUGGAGGCCAAGAUCUAUGACACGCUGCAGUGGCAGGUCUGGACUCUGCUGCCCGGCUUCUGCACCCGCCCCACAGACGUGCUGGGGGCCUUCAAGGGGCUGGCCCGCACCCUGGGCAUGGCCAUCAGCGAGCGCCCUGACCUGCGCCCCACCGUGUGCCAGGCCUUGCGCACCCUCAUCCACAAAGGAUGCCAGACAGAUGCGGAGCGGGCAGAAGUGGGUCGAUUUGCUAAAAAUUUCCUGCCCAUUCUGUUCAACGUGUACAGCCAGGCCGAGGAGGAUGCAGGCAGCAAUGCUCAGCGCCGCUCCGUGCUGGACACUGUCCGUGCUUACUUGACCAUCACCGACCCCCAGAUGGUGUGUGGGUUCCUGCAGAAAGCCAGUGAGAAGCUGACCAGUCCUGAGAGCUCUGAGUUUACCAGGCUCUCCAUCCUGGACCUGGUAGUGGCAAUGGCUCCCUAUGCCAAUGAGCCGGCUCUGGGCUGCCUGUACCGCACCAUCCAACCUUCCCUCCAGAGCAAGGAGCACAGCAUGCAGAAGAAGGCGUAUCGCGUGCUGGAGGAGGUGUGUGCCGCUCCACAUGGUCCCUGCCAGGCCUUUGUCCGCUCCCACCUGCGGGAUCUGCAGACGGCGCUGCUGGACUCGCUCAAGAGCGCGGCGUCCCCGGCCAAGAGGCCCCGGCUGAAGUGCCUGUUCCACAUCGUGAAGCAGCUCUCUGCCGAGCAUGAGCCCUUCAUCACUGCCCUGGUCCCAGAGGUCAUCCUGUGCACCAAGGAGGUGUCGGUGGGAGCCCGCAAGAAUGCUUUUGCGCUGCUCGUGGAGAUGGGGCAUGCCUUCAUCCGCUUCGGACCCACCCCGCAAGAGGCCAUGGAGAGGUUCCUGCUGCUGGUCUACGCGGGGCUUACGGGCUCGGUCACCAUGAUCAGCUGCACGGUGCUGGCGCUGACCCGACUGUUCUUCGAGUUCAAAGAUCACCUGGAGCUGAGUGUGGUGGAGCAGCUCCUGCAGAACGUCUGCCUACUGCUGGCCUCCCGCACACGGGAUGUGGUGAAGGCGGCCCUGGGCUUCCUCAAAGUUGUGCUGCUGCUGGUGGACACCAAGCUGCUGGCCAAGCAUGUCCAGGUCAUGCUGGAGGCCUUGGGGAACCUUUCGGACGACAUGAGACGCCAUUUUCGCGUGAAGCUGCGAAAUCUCUUCACCAAGUUCAUCCGCAAAUUCGGCUUCGAGCUGGUGAAGGGGCUGCUGCCGGUCGAGUACCACAAGGUGCUGGUGAACAUCCGCAAGGCUGAAGCCCGGAGCCGCAAGCAGCGUGCCCUGAGGCAGGCGGCUGCGGAUACUGAUGAAGAGGAGGCACCGCCAGCACAGCCCAGAGGAGACAGCAUGGAGGAGAUCCUGGCUGACUCAGAGGAUGAGGAGGAGGAAGAGGAGGAACGGCAGCAGAGCAAGGAGCGGAGGAAGCAAGCACGGCAGAAGGGCCAGGCCUGGCUGAAGGAAGGGGAAGAGGAUGAGCCUCUCAACUUUCUGGACCCCAAUGUGUCCCAGCGGGUGCUGGCCACCAAGCCAGGCCCCAGGAGGUCCAAAGGAGUGAGCCAUGACUUCCAGAUGUCUGAGGAUGGGCGCCUGAUCAUCCACGAAGAGGAGGAGGAGGUGGAUGAUGCUGAAGCCAAAGGAGUGGACGAGGAGAUGAAAGAUGUGCUGCAAGAUGUAGGCCUCCGCAGUGUGAGUAUGGGGCUCAUGCUCCUGAGGAGAUGUGGCGGGGUUUGGCACAGUCCUGCCUGUGCUACAGCAGCUGCAGCUGUGCCCCAGAGGCCAGUGGGUACACCAGAAGAAAAGCCAGAAGCGUCGGUUCAGAGAGGAGCAGGAAGAUGAGGAACCUGAGUCUGGGACCUACCCUCAGUACAGAGCUGGAGGCUCUGGGAUCCACCGGCAGCUGGACAAGCAGCCAGCCUUUGGUGCGGAGUACAGAUCCAAGAAAGGCAAAGGUGAUGUGAAGAAGAAGGGCCAUCUUGACCCCUAUGCCUACAUUCCCCUGAACAGAGCUAAACUCAACAGAAGGAAGCAGGCGAAAAUGCAGGGCCAGUUCAAGGGGCUGAUGAAGGGUGCCCAGCGUGGGGCUAAAGCCGGCCGCAGGAACCGUCUGAAGGCCCAGCGCCCCUGAGGAGCCCUGGGUGCUCGGUCUGCACCUGCACAAGGAUGGACAACACCCCGUGGCCUCUGGACAGGGGCUUGCUGAGUGGAGCAGACAGUGGCCUGCAUCUGUUUGGGACUCCCUGGGAAGCCACCCCAUUGCAUUACAGACUCAUGGCCCCAGCCCUGCCUUCCUGUGCCUGGAGGAAGAUGUGGGGUAGCCUGGUACGGGGCAGGGGCGGUGUGUGAAAGCAAGGAAAGCAUAAUGAAUUCUUUAUGUUGAUAAAUACCCACAGUUCAUACCCA